rnacentral:rRNA from 1 species
AACAGAGGGUGCGAACGUUGUUCGGAAUUACUGGGCGUAAAGCACAUGUAGGCGGCAGCGCAAGUCGGGCGUGAAAUCCCACGGCUCAACCGUGGAAGUGCACUCGAAACUGCGCAGCUAGAGUCCUGGAGAGGAAGGUGGAAUGCUUGGUGUAGAGGUGAAAUUCGUAGAUAUCAAGCGGAACACCGGUGGCGAAUGCGGCCUUCUGGACAGUGACUGACGCUGAGAUGCGAAAGCGUGGGGAGCAAACAGG